rnacentral:tRNA from 1 species
AGCCCCAUAGUAUAGCGGUCAAGUAUCUUGCCCUCUGGAGGCAGGGACCCAGGUUCGAAUCCUGGUGGGGCUA